rnacentral:rRNA from 1 species
CCCUUAGAUGUUCUGGGCCGCACGCGCGCUACACUGACGAAUGCAACGAGCUUAUAACCUUGGCCGAAAGGUCUGGGUAAUCUCCAAAUUUCGUCGUGAUGGGGAUAGAUUAUUGCAAUUAUUAAUCUUCAACGAGGAAUGCCUAGUAAGCGCAAGUCGUCAGCUUGCGUUGAUUACGUCCCUGCCCUUUGUACACACCGCCCGUCGCUCCUACCGAUUGAAUGGUCCGGUGAAGCGCUCGGACCGCGGCCUCUUGACGGUUUUCCGUCGAUUGGCUGUGGGAAGUUCGUUAAACCUUAUCAUUUAGAGGAAGGAGAAGUCGUAACA